rnacentral:rRNA from 1 species
CACGUAGGCACCAAGCGUUGUCCGGAUUUAUUGGGCGUAAAGAGCUCGUAGGCGGUUCAGUAAGUCGGGUGUGAAAACUUUGGGCUUAACCCAAAGCGUGCAUCCGAUACUGCUGUGACUUGAGUUCGGUAGGGGAGUGGGGAAUUCCUAGUGUAGCGGUGAAAUGCGCAGAUAUUAGGAGGAACACCGGUGGCGAAGGCGGGUCUCUGGGCCGAUACUGACGCUGAGAGCGAAAGCGUGGGGAGCGAACAGG